AUGAACGCUAGCGGCAGGCUUAACACAUGCAAGUCGAGGGGCAGCGAGGGUAGCAAUACCUGUCGGCGACCGGCGGAAGGGUGAGUAACGCGUGAGCAACAUACCCGUAUCAGUGGGAUAAUACAGGGAAACUUGUUCUAAUAUCGCAUAAUAUUAUUCAGAGGCAUCUUUGGAUAAUUAAAGUUACGGCGGAUACGGAAUGGCUCGCGUGACAUUAGCUAGAUGGUAGGGUAAUGGCCUACCAUGGCGAUGAUGUCUAGGGGUUCUGAGAGGGAGGUCCCCCACACUGGAACUGAGACACGGUCCAGACUCCUACGGGAGGCAGCAGUGAGGAAUAUUGGACAAUGGUCGGAAGACUGAUCCAGCCAUGCCGCGUGAAGGUUACUGUCCUAUGGAUAUUAAACUUCUUUUUACGGGAGCAAUAAGGUGCACGCGUGCAUCGAUGAGAGUACCGUACGAAUAAGCAUCGGCUAACUCCGUG
rnacentral:rRNA from 1 species